GAGAAUGUGCUGGCUCUGAUGUUCAGUGACAAGGGAACAGAGAGAGACAAAGCAGCUGCCGUUUUAUGAGGACACUCAAGCAGCUCUAUGGAGAGGCCCACGUGGUGAGAAACUGAGGCCUCCUGCCAAAAACCAGCAUCAACUUGUCAGUCAUGUGACUGAACCAUCCUGGAAGCAGAUCUUCCCACUCCAGUGAACCCUGCAGUUGAUCACAGCCCCAGUGGAUACUUUGGCUGCAGAGAGACCAUGAUCUAGAACCAAUUAGCUAAGUUGCUCCUGAAUUCCUGACU
rnacentral:lncRNA from 10 species